GUCCAUUGUGCGUGUGCUAACUUUAUCUCAUGCCGCACAGAUAGACUACUACUGUAUUUUUACCAUUUUUCUUUCACCUCAUAUUUGGUCUGAAAUGCUGAUACAAUGUGGGAAUGCAUAAAGUCAUCAUGGUGUCUGUGUUGACCUCGCUGCCACAUCCUUUCUUUGCCAACAACACGUCUUCAGUGAAGAUGUGCCCUACAGGACCAAUGGUGUUGAUUUUGUGAAAGCUAAGGCUGCUGGACGGCCACCUCCAUCGCUGACCCGAAAGAGCGAAUCAGACCCUAUCACAGCUCUCGUCACGCCGCUGUAGGCCGAGCCGUGUGACAGUGGCGUAAUGCUGAUCAGAUAGCUGUGUGGAGUCACUGCUUACAUGUGUCACAACU